UGCGCGGUGGUGUAAAGGUAACACGAGGGUCUCAUAAGCCCUGAACUGCGGGUUCGAAUCCCGUCUGCGCUCCCA
rnacentral:tRNA from 1 species